ensembl:lncRNA
GCGUGGUUCCGUCCAGGAGCUCGGGGGCUGGACACAGGUAAGCCCCGCCCCUAGGGCGCGGUCCGGCCCAGGAGCUCGGUGGCUGGACAAGGGUAAGCCCCGCCCACAGAGCGUAGUCCCAUCCCAGAGCUCGGUGGGUGGACAGAAGUAAGCCCCGCCCACAGAGCGCGGUCCCGUCCCAGAGCUCGGUCCGUAGACGGCUAUAAGCCCCGCCCUUUCCGCCCACGCUGGUUCCCAGCCACUCGACGUAGGGCCGCCCACAGGGCCGUCUCCGCCGCGGAGCUCCCGCCCCUGAACGCUGCGCAGCCCCGCUCGCAGCGCGGAGUCCCGCACGUUAGCGCGUCUGGCCCGGUGCUACCUUGAGGCGCUCUACUUGGGGGAGACGCCGAAGACGGGAGCGCCUCGAGCUCCUCGCGCGGGCUCGCUUACAGAAGCCAGGUGGCGCGUCUUGGUCACCGCGCGGGCCGUCUCACAGCGGUCGCCCCUCGGCCGCGUCCUGCGGGCUGGCCGGGACGCGCUCCCGGGACGCGGCGCCGGGCGCCGCUGGGGGCGCCCCAGGCUCGCUGGGCGGCGCAGAGCGCCUAGGGGCUGAGCGGAUCCAGGGCUAGCGCUGGGACUUCUAGGGGAGGACUGUAAUGAGACGGAGCUGAAGUGCUUUCCUCAGUCAGAUGAGAACUUCUGACAGCGCGGCAGACGCACAGCAAAGUAAACAAGCCGCGCAGCAAGAAUGAAGUGAGAGCCGCCCCGUCGUGUCCGUGGGAUUCUCCAGGCCGGAACACUGGAGUGGAUAUUUCCCUCUCCAGUACUGAAAGCUACCCUUCAAUGAAAUAUGCGUUUCUUGUGAGGAGCCAAUUAUCGUGAAAAGUUUCAUGAUUUAUUAUAGGAGUGCAGAGUCUUUUCUUCCUUUAACCCCUCAGUGACAGAAGAAUUUGUUUUCAGACUAAGAAGAAACAUCUAUAACAUAUUCUGUAUAAUAAAGUAGGGCGGACAGGACCUUCCAUCUUUUUGGCUAGGUCAGAUUCCUGGAAAUAUCUGUAGAAUAAGAAUAAGUAACACUGCAGUGAAGGAAAAACGACACUUUCUCAGGAUAUUCUAAAGCUGUAGGAGGUGGAUCACAGACUUUAUAUUGUUAUUAUUUAUUUUCUAUAACUUAAAUAUCAUAUUACUGCAGAUUUUAUUCAGAGUAAUCUCCUGGCCAAAUGCCUAGAAAUCCUGCUACUGCUGCUACUGCUAAGUCGCUUCAGUCAUGUCCGACUCUGUGCGACCGCAGCCCACCAGGAAAUCCUGAACCUGAACUAAUUACAGUUGCAAAGGAUGGCUUGCGUAUGAAAUACCUGAAGCGUCUAUAUGAGGCAGGAAGCAGAUGGGCCCCCCAGGGUAAAGCGACCAAAGGGAAGAGAUUGGACCCUGCACAGACCACAUAUUUCUCGUCCCAAAGUCAGGAGACCCUCCCUGGCUGCAUAUGCACAAAAGAGGCUCCUUUGCUGUUCUACCCAGAUGCCUUUUCGGUGGAAUUCAUCUUGGCUAAGAUGCGUGCACACGCGGGAAGAUCCUGAGAUAUACAGAAUAUGGACUGUGAGCCCAGGCAAGUCAAAAUGAGCAGCCAGAGGAAAUCUGGAAGAAAUGCCCCACAUAAGUGAUUUAAACUGCCACCAGGGCGCAACUCGGGGCCUCUGUCUCUGAGUCUGCCCAUGUGUCUAUCCAUACGUACUGUACUUUUCCUCCUAAUAAAUACUGUACUUGCUUCAC